ensembl:snoRNA
AUGCCCCUUUAAGGUUCACACAGUGUCUUAAAUGGCUAACACAGAAGUGUAAAGAAAACACCCAAAAUCCAGAGAGGAUAUGGAAACUCUUGUUUGGAAGCUGUGUGGUGUCAUAGCA